AUUGAACGCUGGCGGCAUGCCUUACACAUGCAAGUCGAACGGUAGCGGGCCUUCGGGUGCCGACGAGUGGCGAACGGGUGAGUAAUGUAUCGGAACGUACCAUUGAGUGGGGGAUAACGUAGCGAAAGUUACGCUAAUACCGCAUAUUCUCUCCGGAGGAAAGCAGGGGACCGCAAGGCCUUGCGCUCUUUGAGCGGCCGAUAUCAGAUUAGCUAGUUGGUGAGGUAAAGGCUCACCAAGGCGACGAUCUGUAGCGGGUCGUGAGAGGAUGAUCCGCCACACUGGAACUGAGACACGGUCCAGACUCCUACGGGAGGCAGCAGUGGGGAAUUUUGGACAAUGGGCGCAAGCCUGAUCCAGCCAUGCCGCGUGAGUGAAG
rnacentral:rRNA from 1 species